rnacentral:rRNA from 1 species
AAUAUGGGACAAUGGGCGAACGCCUGAUCCAGCCAUGCCGCGUGUGUGAAGAAGGUCUUCGGAUUGUAAAGCACUUUAAGUUGGGAGGAAGGGCAGUAAGUUAAUACCUUGCUGUUUUGACGUUACCGACAGAAUAAGCACCGGCUAACUUCGUUCCAGCAGCCGCUGUAAUACGAAGGGUGCAAGCGUUAAUCGGAAUUACUGGGCGUAAAGCGGGCGUAGGUGGUUUGAUAAGUUGGAAGUGAAAGACCCGGGCUCAAACUGGGAACUGCUUCCAAAACUGGCAAGCUAGAGUAUGGCAGAGGGUGGUGGAAUUUCCUGUGUAGCGGUGAAAUGCGUAGAUAUAGGAAGGAACACCAGUGGCGAAGGCGACCACCUGGGCUAAUACUGACACUGAGGUGCGAAAGCGUGGGGAGCAAACAGG